rnacentral:lncRNA from 1 species
ACACGAUGCUGUUUGUAGGUUUCCUGAGCACUGCCUUUGUUCAAGCUGUGCGCCACCUCUCUUGUUUUGGGGUGCCUUUCCAUACUUCCUUAUUCCAGUUUUGCAAAAGCUGCCAUCCUUUAAGGCAUCAAUCCCUGCUCUGAUAGCUAUAGUACAGUAGAAGACUUCUGAGACCAAGGAUAAAGCAACAAAGCUACAGACUACAGCUCUGGUUCUUGAGCAAAUGGCUCAACUACAAAUGCAUUUAUAAUAACUAACCUGACAAAGAUGUGACAAUGGAGUGAAAUAAUGCAGGAACAUUUUACGGACUGUAAGGUGUAGUGCACAUGUUAGUGUCAGUAAAUCCAAGGUCAAGUUUUACAACCUACAUGAAACUAGCUGUUCAUUAUUUUGGUCUUUCAAAAGAAUGUGGGCCAGGCGCGGUGGCUCAUGCCUGUAAUCCCAAUACUUUGGCAGGCCGAGGCGGAUGGAUCACUUGAGGUCAGGAGUUCGAGACCAGCCUGGCCAACAUGGGGAAACCCCGUCUCUACUAAAAAUACAAAAAUUAGUCGGGGCAUGGUGGCACACGCCUGUAAUCCCAGUUUCUUGGGAGGUUGAGGCAGAAGAAUCACUUGAACAUGGGAAGCGGAGGUUGCAGUGAGC